GGACCCGCACAAGCGGUGGAGCAUGUGGUUUAAUUCGACGAUAAGCGAGGAACCUCACCAAGGUUUGACAUCUGGCUGCAGACUCCUGGAAACAGGAGAGCCUUCGAGGGUGCCAGACAGAUGCUGCAUGGUUGUCGUCAGCUCGUGUCGUGAGAUGUACCGUUAAGUCGGAAAACGAGCGCAACCCCUAUCCUAUGUUUCAUGUGUCAUAGGGAACUGCCUGCGUUAAGCAGGAGGAAGGUGGGGAUGACGUCAAAUCAGCAUGGUUCUUACACCUUGGGCGACACACGUGCUACAAUGGGGAACACAAAGGGACGCCAAAUCGUAAGAUGGAGCAAACCCCAAAAAAUUCUCCUCAGUUCGGAUUGAGGUCUGCAACUCGACCUCAUGAAGUUGGAAUCGCUAGUAAACGCGUAUCAGCCACGGCGCGUUGAAUACGUUCUCGGGUCUU
rnacentral:rRNA from 1 species